GGAAAUUUCCAAAGGAGCAGUCACUUUGAAUCAACGUCUUUCCCUUCAAAGAGGGCCUGUGCUGUUUGGGGAUGUUUGGCUGUUCCUUUUUGAACCUCUCCAGGAUGUGACUUGGGUGAAGCAGGACGAAAGGGCAGAGGGCUUGGUGCUUCACCGUGGCCCUUCUCAGGUCCAGGACAUCGGUGCUGAUAUGAGGGACAUCAGGACAUGGAGCCCCAUUGCUGUGAUACCCACCAAAUGGAUGCAUUUUCCUCCCCAUGGGAUCUUGUGGCCAGCAUCAUGGCUAUGCAAAGCUCAGCUCUCUCCCCAUCCCUGCACCCCUCCAUCCAUCACAUCUCCAUUUGGCUGUGCUGAGGCCACCCCUCACCUUGCAGAUGAAGUGAGUUCAGGACCAAGCAGAACUGAAGGUUCCAGGAGUAGAAAGACAAAAAUCCCCCUCACCUCCUCCUGAGUCCUCAAAACUUGGGACGUUGCUUAGUGACAGCGUUGCUG